rnacentral:rRNA from 1 species
CAGUAGCCGCGGUAAUACGAAGGGGGCUAGCGUUGCUCGGAAUUACUGGGCGUAAAGGGCGCGUAGGCGGACAGUUCAGUCGGGGGUGAAAGCCCGGGGCUCAACCUCGGAAUUGCCUUCGAUACUGGCUGUCUUGAGUAUGAGAGAGGUGUGUGGAACUCCGAGUGUAGAGGUGAAAUUCGUAGAUAUUCGGAAGAACACCAGUGGCGAAGGCGACACACUGGCCCAUUACUGACGCUGAGGCUCGAAAGCGUGGGGAGCAAACAGGAUUAGAUACCCGUGUAGUCCCUGUCUCUUAUAC